AUAAAAAACCAAUGCCUUCGGGCUCCUUGGUGAUUCAUGAUAACUUAACGAAUCGCAUGGCCUUGCGCCGGCGAUGGUUCAUUCAAAUUUCUGCCCUAUCAACUUUCGAUGGUAGGAUAGUGGCCUACCAUGGUUUCAACGGGUAACGGGGAAUUAGGGUUCGAUUCCGGAGAGGGAGCCUGAGAAACGGCUACCACAUCCAAGGAAGGCAGCAGGCGCGCAAAUUACCCAAUCCCAAUUCGGGGAGGUAGUGACAAUAAAUACUGAUACAGGGCUCUUUUGGGUCUUGUAAUUGGAAUGAGUACAAUUUAAAUCCCUUAACGAGGAACAAUUGGAGGGCAAGUCUGGUGCCGGCAGCCGCGGUAAUUCCAGCUCCAAUAGCGUAUAUUAAAGUUGUUGCAGUUAAAAAGCUCGUAGUUGAACCUUGGGUCUGGCUGCCCGGUCCGCCUAACCGCGUGCACUGGUGCGGCCGGAUCUUUCCUUCUGGCUAACCUCAUGCCCUUUACUGGGUGUGCU
rnacentral:rRNA from 1 species